GACGAACGCUGGCGGCGCGCCUAACACAUGCAAGUCGAGCGUGAAGCCCCCUUCGGGGGGCGGAAAGCGGCGAACGGGUGAGUAACACGUGAGGAACCUACCCCGGACUCUGGGAUAACAGCGGGAAACCGCUGCUAAUACCGGAUACACCACCCCCACCGCAUGGCGGAGGUGGGAAAGACUUAUCGGUCCAGGAUGGUCUCGCGGCCUAUCAGCUUGUUGGUGGGGUAACGGCCUACCAAGGCUACGACGGGUAGCUGGCGUGAGAGCGUGGCCAGCCACAUUGGAACUGAGAUACGGUCCAAACUCCUACGGGAGGCAGCAGUGGGGAAUCUUGCACAAUGGGCGAAAGCCUGAUGCAGCGACGCCGCGUGAGGGAUGAAGGCCCUAGGGUUGUAAACCUCUUUCAGCAGGGACGAAGCGAAAGUGACGGUACCUGCAGAAGAAGCCCUGGCUAACUACGUGCCAGCAGCCGCGGUAAUACGUAGGGGGCGAGCGUGUCGNUUAUUGGCGUAAG
rnacentral:rRNA from 1 species